rnacentral:rRNA from 1 species
UUCCGGUUGAUUCUWCGGAGGCCAUUGCUAUCGGAGUUCGAUUUAGCCAUCUAGUCGCACGAGUUCAUACUCGUGGCAGAUAGCUCAGUGACACGUGGCCAAACUACCCUAUGGAUCAGAACAACCUCGGGAAACUGAGGCUAAUUCUGAAUAACGCUCUAUGCCUGGAAUGGCUUGAGCCGGAAAAGCUACGGCGCCAUAGGAUGUGGCUGCGGCCGAUUAGGUAGACGGUGGGGUAAGGGCCCACCGUGCCCAUAAUCGGUACGGGUUGUGAGAGCAAGAGCCCGGAGACGGUAUCUGAGACAAGAUACCGGGCCCUACGGGGWWCAGCAGGCGCGAAAACUUUACACUGCACGACAGUGMGAUAAGGGAACUCCGAGUGCGAGGGCAUAUCGUCCUCGCUUUUCUGUACCGUAGGGAGGUACAAGAAUAAGAGCUGGGCAAGACCGGUGCCAGCCGCCGCGGUAACACCGGCAGCUCAAGUGAUGGCCGAUAUUAUUGGGCCUAAAGCGUCCGUAGCCAGCUGAACAGGUCCGUCGGGAAAUCYGCUCGCUCAACGAGCAGGCGUCCGGCGGAAACCAGUCAGCUUGGGAUCGGAAGACCCGAGGGGUACGUCUGGGGUAGGAGUGAAAUCCCGUAAUCCUGGACGGACCACCGGUGGCGAAAGCGCCUCGGGAAGACGAAUCCGACGGUGAGGGACGAAAGCUAGGGUCACGAACCGGAUUAGAUACCCGGGUAGUCCUAGCCGUAAACGAUGCUCACUAGGUGUGGACUGGCUACGAGCCAGUGCUGUGCCGUAGGGAAGCCGUGAAGUGAGCCGCCUGGGAAGUACGUCCGCAAGGAUGAAACUUAAAGGAAUUGGCGGGGAGCACSCAACCGAGAGGGCAA